rnacentral:lncRNA from 1 species
CAAUUUAUUAGUGGGUAAUGCAUCAACAUCUUUAUAUUUUAUUCAAGUAGUGAAUUAUUGAUAGUAAGGGUUAGUUUAAGUGUUUCUUUUUAAAAAAAAAGGAUAAAUUAUUAAAACAACAAAAAAACAAAAAUAAUAACAAACAGUCCCCUUACAGAAGCGCCUAAAAGCUCGCAACCUAAAUUUUUUUUAGAAAACUCUAAAACCCUAAGUCCCCUUUUGCGCCGCAACCUCAACACGUCAGCAUGCUCACCGCCCGAGGCCUGACACCUCCUCUGCCACCAUUGCACCAAAAUGGCAAAGGCGUGGCUCCCCAGCACCGUUGACCUUGCCACGAACACCUACAAAAAAAGAAAAAAUACAAGAAAAGGCAGAAAAAUAGAGAGCAGAGGCAAAAACAAAAAAGAGAAAACAAAAUAGAAUAUUGUAAUCACUUUGACUAUAAAAGCUGAACAGACUCGCUGUAAACACACACACAAAAAAAAGGAAAUAGAAUACAAAAAAGAACCCAACAAAGUUCAAAAGAAAAAAAAAACUAAGAUAGUUUUAUUUUUUACUUUUUUAUUUCGAAAAAUAUAAAGAAAAAAAUAAAAUUUUAAAUUUUUACCUACAACGCUUCAUUUUCCGCCGCCAUGGAAAGCCAACUCCGAUCCAGAAGUCUCUGAACCCAC